AUUGAACGCUGGCGGCAGGCCUAACACAUGCAAGUCGAGCGGAUGAAGGGAGCUUGCUCCUGGAUUCAGCGGCGGACGGGUGAGUAAUGCCUAGGAAUGUGCCUGGUAGUGGGGGAUAACGUCCGGAAACGGGCGCUAAUACCGCAUACGUCCUGAGGGAGAAAGUGGGGGAUCUUCGGACCUCACGCUAUCAGAGGAGCCUAGGUCGGAUUAGCUAGUUGGUGGGGUAAAGGCCUACCAAGGCGACGAUCCGUAACUGGUCUGAGAGGAUGAUCAGUCACACUGGAACUGAGACACGGUCCAGACUCCUACGGGAGGCAGCAGUGGGGAAUAUUGGACAAUGGGCGGAAGCCUGAUCCAGCCAUGCCGCGUGUGUGAAGAAGGUCUUCGGAUUGUAAAGCACUUUAAGUUGGGAGGAAGGGCAGUAAGUUAAUACCUUGCUGUUUUGACGUUACCAACAGAAUAAGCACCGGCUAACUUCGUG
rnacentral:rRNA from 1 species